rnacentral:rRNA from 1 species
CUCAUGGUUUCACGGUAUUGCAAUGAGAACAAUUUAAAACCCUUAGCGAGAAUCAAGUGGAGGACAAGUCUGGUGCCAGCACCCGCGGUAAUUCCAGCUCCACUAGCGUAUAUUAAAGUUGUUGCAGUUAAAAAGCUCGUAGUUGAACCUCUGUCUGGGGCUAGUUUUGGCUUUGGUCAGGCUAGUUCUAGGCAUCCGCCUACAAGACUUAGAGGGCAUUCAGUUGUUCACUAGGAGGAGUAGGCAUUUUACUUUGAAAAAAUUAGAGUGUUUAAGGCAGGCAAUCGCCCGCAUAUAUUAGCAUGGAAUAAUAGAAUAGGACACUUUUCCAUUCCGUUGGUUAUUGGAAUCGUGUAAUGAUUAAUAGGGACAGUUGUGGGCAUUUGUAUUUAAUUGUCAGAGGUGAAAUUCUUGGAUUUAUUAAAGACAAACUAACGCGAAAGCAUUUGCCAAGGAUGUUUUCAUUAAUCAAGAACGAAAGUUAGGGGAUCAAAGACGAUCAGAUACCGUCCUAGUCUUAACUAUAAACUAUUCCGACUCAAUGUUUGACUGGCUUAUAUAACCAGUUGAGCGUUGUAUGAGAAAUCAAAGUCUUUAGGUUCUGGGGGGAGUAUGGUUGCAAAGCUGAAACUUAAAGGAAUUGACGGAAGAGCACAACCAGGAGUGGAUUCUGCGGCUUAAUUUGACUCAACACGGGGAAACUUACCAGGUUAAAACAAUAGUGGGAUUGACAGUUUGAGAGCGCUUUCUUGAUUGGUUGGGUGGUGGUGCAUGGCCGUUCUUAGUUGGUGGAGUGAUUUGUCUGCUUAAUUGCGUUAACGAACGAGACCUUAACCUGCUUACUAGACUGGCGAUCAUCAAUCGUUAGCUCUUCUUAGAGGGACUUUGGUUGUUUUAACUCCAAGGAAGUUUGAGGCAAUAACAGGUCUGUGAUGCCCUUAGAUAUCCUGGGCCGCACGCGUCAUACGAUGACUAGUUCAGAAAGUUUUCUCCUGACCCGAAAGGGGAUGGGUAAUCUUGAUAAUACUAGUCGUGUUAGGGAUCGAUCUUUGCAAUUAUAGAUCUUGAACGAGGAAUUCCUAGUAAGUGCGGUUCAUCAGACCGUACUGAUUACGUCCCUGCUCUUUGUACACACCGCCCGUCGCUUCUACCGAGUGGGUGGUCCGGUGAGAUAAUUGAACUUCGCAGGUAACUGAGAGGAAAGAUUAUCAAACCUAUCCACCU